CAAUAAACAUCACACGUGCACAUAACAAAGCCCCUCCCUUUAAAAGACCUUGCCCUCAAGGUCGGGAAAUUUCCGACGAAGUUCAUCCAAGUCUUCCCAAGUGGCAUCCUCAGCUGCAGCUCCCUUCCAGCGGAUCAACAAUUCUGCUCCAGCUCGGUUUCCCUUCUUUUUAAGCCGCCUUGACAAAACCUGUUCUGGUUCUAGGGAAAGGAACCCUUCAGCCAUGAUGGGUGGAAAGUUAGGGAUUGGUUCAAUAUGAGUUCCCAGUGUUUUCUUGAGACAAGAAACAUGAAAGAUAGGGUAAAUCUAUGACUCGAUCGGAAGAUUUAGCUUGUAUGCGACUUUACCGACACUUUUAACCACUUGGAAGGGGCCAUAAAAUUUUGGGGAUAACUUCAAAUUUCUUCUGAGUGCCACGGUCAUUUGUCGAUAGGGUCUCAAUCUCAGCUUGUACCAUAGUGGAGCCUGGCUCAUAAGGCAUGAGACGAGGUGGUGGGUAGCCGUAGACUACUUCGAAUGGGCUGAGUUUGGUAGAUGUGUGUGUGGAAGUAUUGUAAGACCACUUUGCUAAGGGAAGCCAUCUUGCCCAAUCCUUUGGAUGAUCCCCUGAAAAGCAUCUAAGCUUAAAGAUGUUAUCUAUGAAUAAUCUGGCUAUACUAGUAGCAGUGUAAGGGUGAGCCAGGGAAAGAAAAUGGGCAUACUUGCUGAAUCUGUCCACUAUGACCAUGAUAACAUUGUGGCCUCUAGAAGGUGGGAGUCCCUCAAUGAAGUCCAUGCUAAUGUCUAUCCAAGCUCUAUGUGGAAUUGGCAGAGGUUGGAGAAGCCCUACUGGGUGUAAGUUCUCAGCCUUAUUGCGUUGGCAUACACUGCAUUCCCUGAUGAAGGUUCUGAUAUCUCUGUGCAUCCCAGACCAGUAAAACUCUCUCUUGACCCUUGAAUGUGUUUUCUGUGAUCCCAUAUGACCACCUAACGGGUUGUU